GCCUUCGUGGUGUAAUGGGCAAGCACACUCGGCGCGUAUUCGACAGGUCCGAGGUUCGAAUCCCGGCGAGAGCA
rnacentral:tRNA from 1 species